UACGUAGGGUGCAAGCGUUAAUCGGAAUUACUGGGCGUAAAGCGUGCGCAGGCGGUGAUGUAAGACAGAUGUGAAAUCCCCGGGCUCAACCUGGGAACUGCAUUUGUGACUGCAUCGCUGGAGUACGGCAGAGGGGGAUGGAAUUCCGCGUGUAGCAGUGAAAUGCGUAGAUAUGCGGCGGAACACCGAUGGCGAAGGCAGCCCCCUGGGCUGAGAUUGACGCUCAGGCACGAAAGCGUGGGGAGCAAACAGG
rnacentral:rRNA from 1 species